AAACAUUUUAAUUUUAUUUGAUUUUUAGUGUAAAAAGUUUUUGAAAAAGAGAAAAUUUUAUAAUGAUAUGGUAGAGGACAAUACUUUUUUUUUUUUUUUGUAAUACAACACAAGAAUCUCGUCCUCUCCCAAUGUUUCCUCAUCAUUAUACAAAAUUACAAACUUCCAUUUAAAAUAAAAACAAGAAUAAAAAGAAUAAAGUAGAUUCUUUUUCCUUUCACAUUUUUU
rnacentral:lncRNA from 1 species